rnacentral:rRNA from 1 species
GACGAACGCUGGCGGCGUGCUUAACACAUGCAAGUCGAACGAUGAAGAAAAGAAUCGAAGCUUCGGCAGACAUUCAUUUCGGAUUAGUGGCAGACGGGUGAGUAACGCGUGAGCAACCUACCUCUUACAAAGGGAUAGCCUCGGGAAACCGGGAUUAAUACCAUAUAACAUUGUGACGAAGCAUUUCGAUGCAAUCAAAGCUACGGCGGUAAGAGAUGGGCUCGCGUCCCAUUAACCGGAUGGUGAGGUAACGGCUCACCAUAGUGACGAUGGGUAACCGGCCUGAGAGGGUGAACGGUCACACUGGAACUGAGACACGGUCCAGACUCCUACGGGAGGCAGCAGUGGGGAAUAUUGCACAAUGGAGGGAACUCUGAUGCAGCGACGCCGCGUGAGUGAUGAAGGAAUUCGUUUCGUAAAACUCUGUUCUAUGGGAAGAAAAGGACUGUACCAUAGGAGAAAGCUCCGGCUAAAUACGUG